rnacentral:rRNA from 1 species
AGUGAACGCUGGCGGCGUGCUUAAUACAUGCAAGUCGAACGAUGAAGUCCUAGCUUGCUAGGAUGGAUUAGUGGCGCACGGGUGAGUAAUAUAUAGUUAAUCUGCCUUGCACUGAGGAACAACAGUUGGAAACGAUUGCUAAUACCUUAUACUCCAACUUUACAUAAGUUAAGUUGGGAAAGUCUUUUCGGUGCAAGAUGAGACUAUAUCGUAUCAGCUAGUUGGUAAGGUAAUGGCUUACCAAGGCUAUGACGCGUAACUGGUCUGAGAGGAUGAUCAGUCACAUUGGAACUGAGACACGGUCCAAACUCCUACGGGAGGCAGCAGUAAGGAAUAUUGUGCAAUGGGGGAAACCCUGACGCAGCAACGCCGCGUGGAGGAUGACACUUUUCGGAGCGUAAACUCCUUUUGUUAGGGAAGAAUAAUGACGGUACCUAACGAAUAAGCACCGGCUAACUCCGUG